UAGGGAAUAUUGCUCAAUGGGCGAAAGCCUGAAGCAGCAACGCCGCGUGUGCGAAGAAGGCCUUCGGGUCGUAAAGCACUUUUCUGAGAGAUGAGAAAGGACAGUAUCUCAGGAAUAAGUCUCGGCUAACUACGUGCCAGCAGCCGCGGUAAAACGUAGGAGGCAAGCGUUAUCCGGAUUCACUGGGCGUAAAGCGCGUGCAGGCGGUUCGGUAAGUUGGGCGUGAAAUCUCCUGGCUUAACUAGGAGAGGCCGUCCAAUACUACCGGGCUUGAGAGUGGUAGAGGAAGAUGGAAUUCCCGGUGUAGUAGUGAAAUGCGUAGAUAUCAGGAGGAACACCUGUGGUGCAGACAGCUUUCUGGACCGCGACUGACGCUGAGACACGAAAGCGUGGGGAGCAAACAGGAUUAGAUACCCUGGUAGUCCACGCCCUAAACGAUGCAUACUUGGUGUGAGCCAUUCAGUUGGUUCGUGCCGGAGCUAACGCGUUAAGUAUGCCGCCAGGGGAGUACGGUCCGCAAGGCUG
rnacentral:rRNA from 1 species